rnacentral:rRNA from 1 species
UACGACUACAUAUCAGGCAUAUCAAUAAGCGGAGGAAAAGAAACUAACUAGGAUUCCCUCAGUAACGGCGAGUGAAGCGGGAAGAGCUCAAAUUUGAAAUCUUCAAGGUUCUACCUUGACGAAUUGUAGUUUAAAGAAGUGUUUUCUGUUAGGAGUUUUGGUAAAAGUUCUUUGGAAUAGGACAUCAUAGAGGGUGAGAAUCCCGUAUUUGACCAUUAUUUCCUAGCUUUGUGAUACACUUUCCAAAGAGUCGGAUUGUUUGGGAAUGCAGUCCAAAAUGGGUGGUAAAUUUCAUCUAAAGCUAAAUAUUGGCGAGAGACCGAUAGCGAACAAGUACCGUGAGGGAAAGAUGAAAAGAACUUUGAAAAGAGAGUUAAACAGUACGUGAAAUUGUCAAAAGGGAAGCGUUUGACACCAGUGUUGUUUCUGCGAAAAUCAAUUUAAAUGAUGGCUUGAUGCUAAGCUAUUAAGACUUUAUCAGCUUGUUGUUUAGUUUUCUGUGUCUUUGUGAAUGCACUUUUCGUUGAACAAGUCAACAUCAAUUUCUUUUGCUGUAAAAAGGGUAAGAAGGAAGGUGGCUUCGGCUUCGGUUGAAGUGUUUAUAGCCUUUUAUCUCUGCAGGUCGGAGAGAUUGAGGUCUGCAGCGUAGACUCUUCGGGGUUAGAUACGUCGGUGCUAAGCUAUAGCUUUGUCAUAGACAACAUUGUUGACUAUGUUUAGUCAUGUAGGCUUACCCGCAUGGCGCUAUUUUACCUACGCUUAGGAUGUUGACACACGCGCGUGCUC